AGUAUGCAUACACAUUCAUCACUGGCCUACUAUACUGGCUGGAGGGAGAGAUAAUCUGUCAGAUUUAUAGAGUUCUCUUUUAAUAAUAAAUGAGAUUUAUUCAGGCCAAGGACAUUUACAUACUCGACUGCAUGUGUAGAUCGCGAUCGCACAUUUCUCAUUUCAAUCACGAUGACGGGAUGAGGAACAAUAAAUCUACCUGACGUGUCAAGAAAGAUACUAAAACUCGUGUCAAUGGGAAAUUAAAUCUGGAUAAUUCAUUCGAUUCUGCUGGAUACUUUCCUCAAUCUAGUGAAGCAUAUAAAAAACGGACAAUUUAUAAUCAUUGGUCUAAAAACUUGACCUUGACCGCUGUCAAUGUGUACUUUCUUCUUGUAGAUAAUAAAACCUCCGUAUACAAACACAGA